UGCUUAACACAUGCAAGUCGCGCGAGAUAGCCCUGCAGCAAUGUGGGGUGUGUAAAGCGGCGAACGGGUGCGUAACACGUGGGUGACCUGCCCUCAAGAUCGGAACAACCUGCCGAAAGGCGGGCUAAUGCCGGAUGAGACCACAGCGCCAACUUGGCGUAGGGGUCAAAGAUGGCCUCUGCUUGCAAGCUAUCACUUGGGGAGGGGCCCGCGGCCCAUCAGCUAGUUGGUAGGGUAAUGGCCUACCAAGGCUAUGACGGGUAGCUGGUCUUAGCGGACGACCAGCCACACUGGAACUGAAACAAGGUCCAGACUCCUACGGGAGGCAGCAGUGGGGAAUAUUGGACAAUGGGGGAAACCCUGAUCCAGCAACGCCGCGUGGGUGAUGAAGGCCCUCGGGUCGUAAAGCCC
rnacentral:rRNA from 1 species